rnacentral:rRNA from 1 species
AUUGAACGCUAGCGGCAUGCCUUACACAUGCAAGUCGAGCGGCUGAGGGGAGCUUGCUCUUGGGUUCAGCGGCGGACGGGUGAGUAAUGUAUAGGAACGUGCCUGGUAGUGGGGGAUAACGUCCGGAAACCGGAGCUAAUACCGCAUACGUCCUACGGGAGAAAGUGGGGGAUCUUCAGACCUCACGCUAUCAGAUGAGCCUAGGUCGGAUUAGCUAGUUGGUGGGGUAAAGGCCUACCAAGGCGACGAUCCGUAACUGGUCUGAGAGGAUGAUCAGCCACACUGGAACUGAGACACGGUCCAGACUCCUACGGGAGGCAGCAGUGGGGAAUUUUGGACAAUGGGCGAAAGCCUGAUCCAGCCAUGCCGCGUGUGUGAAGAAGGUCUUCGGAUUGUAAAGCACUUUAAGUUGGGAGGAAGGGCAGUAAGUUAAUACCUUGCUGUUUUGACGUUACCAGCAGAAUAAGCACCGGCUAACUUCGUG